rfam:Staphylococcus capitis strain CR03 genome assembly, contig: BN1517_Contig_1
AUGAAUAUAAUGAUAGGGAAGAGUAAAUUCUAAUCAUUUCAAAGAGAGCAUAUGUUUGGUGUGAAUAUGUAGAUGAUUUUAAUUGAAGGUAGCCCAAAAUGAAACUUUCACUGAACAAAUAUUCAGUAGGUGAAAGCGUGUGAGAGCGUUAAUCUUAUACUUAAGUGCUCGAAGAAUAAAGUAUGUUUAAGUUAAAAGACUUUAUUUUUCUUGAAUAUAGGUGGUACCACGGAACAUCCGUCCUAUUU